AGGUCUGAAUCCGGCGUUGAUCCGGCAUUUUCUCAGUAUUGAUCCAGCAUUGAUCCGGCAUUGAUCUGAUAUUGGUCCAGCAUUGAUCCAGCAUUGAUCUGGCAUUGGUCUAGCCUUGGUUCACUUUUGAGCCAAUAUUGAGCUGGCAUUGAUCCAGCAUUGAUCUGGUAUUGAUCUGGCAGUAAUCCAGCAUUGUUCCGGCAUUGAUCCCGCACUGAUCCAUCAUUGGCUCAGUAUUGAUCCAGCAUUGAACCAGCAUUGAUCCGGCAUUGAUCUCGUAUUGAUGCACUAUCAAACCAGUGUCAGUCUGUCAUUGGCUUAGUAUUGAUGUGGUAUUGAUCCGGCAUUAAUCCAGCAUUGAUCAGGCAUUAAUCCAGCAUUGAUCAGGCAUUGAUCCAGUAUUGAUCCACCAUUGAUCAGGCAUUGAUCUGGCCUCCACCCAGUAUUGAUCCAGCCUCUCUCUGGUGGGGCUGGCACAGGGGGGAUCCCCCCACAUCCCCAGAUUUGGGGUCACUGGGUCGGUGCUCCCCCCGGAUCUGUGGGGCAGAGCUCUGGGGGGCUCUGUGGGGCUGGGGGGUCCCUGUCCCCCCCAAGACACCAGGCAGGAGUUGGGGGGCACAAGAAGCUUUAUUGGAGGCUGGGGGGGAGCUGGGGGGAGACCCCCAAAGGGGGGAGCUGGGCCCCCCAAUGGAGGGGCUGAGCUGGGGAUGGGGGGGCUGCCCUAUAGAUUGUGAGUAUCUGAAUGAGGGGCUGCCCCAUAGCAGGCUUGGGGGCUGCCCCACAGUGGAGUUAGGGGGCUGCCCUAUGGACUGUGCGUAUCUAGAGGAGGGGCUGCCCCAUAGGCUGUGCAUAGCUGGAGUGGGUGGAGGCUGCCCCAUAGCAGGGUCAGGGCUGCCCCAUAGCAGGGUUUGGGAGGGAGUGCCCUGCAGAGGGGUCAGGGGCUGCCCCAUAGCAGGGAUGGGGGCUGCCCCAUAGCAGGUGCAUAGAUGGGAUGGGGGGCUGCCCCAUAGUGGAGGUAGGAGGGUGACCUAUAGACUGUGCGUAUCUAGGGGGGGCUGCCCCAUAGCAGGGAUGGGGGUUGCCCUAUAGGCUGUGCCUAUCUAGCAAUGGGGCGCCGCCCUAUAGGCUGCGCAGAGCUGCAAUGCGUGGGGGGCUGCCCCAUAGCGGAGGUAGAGGGGUGACCUAUAGGCUGUGCGUCUCUAAAGGGGAGGCUGCCCCAUAGCGGGGUCAGGGAGCUGCCCCAGAGUGGAGUUAGGGGGUGCCCUAUAGGCUGUGCAUGGCUGGAGUGGAUGGGGGGCUGCCCCAUAGCAGGGUUUGGGAGGGGGUGCCCUAUAGAGGGGUUGAGGGGCUGCCCCAUAGACUGCGUAUCUAAAGGGGGACUGCCCCAUAGCAGGUGCCCUAUAGGAAGUGCAUAGAUGGGAUGGGGGCUGCCCUAUAGCAGGGUCAGGGCUGCCCCAUAGCGGAGUUAUGGGGGUGCCCUAUGGAUUGUGUGUAGCUAAAGGGGGGCUGCCCCAUAGCAGAGAUGGGGACUGCCCCAUAGCAGAGUCAGGGGCUGCCCCAUAGCAGAGAUGGGGACUGCCCCAUAGCUGGAGUGGAUGGGGGGUGCCCUAUACUGGGGUUGGGGGGCUGCCCCAUAGACUGUGCGUAUCUAGAGGGGGGGCUGCCCCAUAGCAGGGUCAGGGGGCUGCCCCAUAGAGGGGGUGCAGAGCUGGAGUGGGUGGGGGGCUGCCCCAUAGCGGGCUCAGGGGCUGCCCCAUAGCGGGCUCAGGGGCCGCCCCAUAGCGGGCUCAGGGGGCUGCCCCAUAGCGGGCUCAGGGGCUGCCCCAUAGCGGGCUCAGGGGCUGCCCCAUAGCGGGCUCAGGGGCUGCCCUAUGGACUGUGCUUAUCUCUCAAUGUGGGGCUGCCCCAUAGCAGAGCUGGGGGAGCUGCCCCAUAGCAGGGUUUGGAGCUGCCCCAUAGCGGGGUUUGGAGCUGC
rnacentral:lncRNA from 1 species